rnacentral:rRNA from 1 species
UACGUAGGGGCAAGCGUUGUUCGGAAUUACUGGGCGUAAAGCGCACGUAGGCGGCUUUCUAAGUCGGGGGUGAAAUCCUGGAGCUCAACUCCAGAACUGCCUUCGAUACUGGAGAGCUCGAGUCCGGGAGAGGUGAGUGGAACUGCGAGUGUAGAGGUGAAAUUCGUAGAUAUUCGCAAGAACACCAGUGGCGAAGGCGGCUCACUGGCCCGGUACUGACGCUGAGGUGCGAAAGCGUGGGGAGCAAACAGG